rnacentral:rRNA from 1 species
CCUACGGGGGGCAGCAGUGAGGAAUAUUGGUCAAUGGGAGAGAUCCUGAACCAGCCAAGCCGCGUGAGGGAAGACGGCCCUAUGGGUUGUAAACCUCUUUUGUCGGAGAACAAAACCCGGGACGUGUCCCGGACUGCGUGUAUCCGAAGAAAAAGCAUCGGCUAACUCCGUGCCAGCAGCCGCGGUAAUACGGAGGGCGCGAGCGUUAAUCGGAAUUACUGGGCGUAAAGCGCGCGUAGGCUGUUGUGUAAGUUGGGGGUGAAAUCCCACGGCUCAACCGUGGAACAGCCCUUGAUACUGCGCGA